rnacentral:misc_RNA from 1 species
UCAAGAGAAUGUAGAGUCUAGAGUCAACAAUAACUUCCAGAGCCUUUUGAUAUUCCUCUGGGCUGAUGUUCAUAUUAUAUUCUAUGAAAUUCAAAUUUCUCGGAACAAAGGAGAGGAUGUGGAGAAAAUCAUCUUGUGGAAUGAGGGGAUAAUCAGAGGCAUCAAGAUUAACAAACCAAUCCCAGUCCAUUUUCCACUUCAACAAAACAGCAGCACCAUGAAGCACAAGACCCAAAGCAGAAGACCCUUCUUCAUUAACAGCAUCAGCUUUCUCAAUAACAUUAACAUUUUCAGCUGCAACAAACACAUCAACAGAAGCCACUUUCAGAGCAAGCUGAAGUCUCUGUUUUGGUGAAGCAAAUUGAUCAAGAUGAAGUAAAUAGUAGUUUCUUGGAUGAUACACUGCUUGAAG